UCCUGAAAAAAAGUUCCAAAUUUCACCACUAAACUCCAUAUGAAGAUGAUCUCUCAAAUCCUAAACAGCUCUAGUCUGAUCAACACAACCAUUGAACAAAAUAACCUCAAGAAAUAAGGAAUUAGACCUGAAACGCGAUGGCGUAGUCGUAAUCACCAGCAUCAAUAGAUUUGGCAACCCUGGAGUUAGCUCCAUCCGCUCCAAUGACAGCAUCAACCUCCAUUGUCUUCUUUGUACCCGUAGAUCCAGUUUUACCAUCGUACUCCGUGUAAUGCAGAGUGUAGGGAGAGUCCCAGUUCUCAGGAUGAUCCAUCUUAAGGAAGAGACCAUUAAUAACAGUAGCUCCACUCUUC
rnacentral:lncRNA from 1 species